rnacentral:miRNA from 14 species
GGCGGCGGCGGCGGCGGCGGCAGCGGCGGCGGCGGCGGCGGC